UAGUGAUUGUUGUAAAUCAUUAUGGCUAUAUCAUGUAAAUAGAUAUAGGGUAAAUCAUUAUGUUGUUAUAGGCUUACCCUUUCCAUGUUUUAUGGAUGACUUUAGGAAUCCUUGUUUUAUGGAGGACUUUAGGGGUCCUUGUUUUAUGGAGGACUUUAGGCUACAUGUUCCCUAUCUUCCACUAUAUGUAGUCCAUUUCUCAUCCAUGUUAUGAGAUGAAUACAGAAAAUACUACACUCCUUCUCUGCAUCUAAACUCUCUCUCUCUCUCAAGUUCUUUGAAGCAAAGCUCUCUCCAUUUUCUGCAUGAAACACUUUCUAUGUUCGUUUUACAACACGUUAUCAGCACGAAUAGCUCUACGAUUCGGAUUGCAGAUUGACAAGAGGAGAGGUGAAUAACUUGGGUUGCAGAGAAGAGGCAGUUCAUCUUUCAAUCAUCUUCACUCUACCAGCUCUACAACCAAAAGCUCAAAUCAAGCCCAAAGCCACAAUAACAAACCCGAGCCAGAAGCUCAGGCCCAAGCUACAAGACCAUAACAGAAGCUCGCCAUGUGUUGCCAUGACAAAGACCAGUUUGAGCCCAGCAGGCCUACUCUCCCUCUGCAGGACCUAGCAGCCCAGCAGGCCUCACACACUCUUUGACUAGUGCAUGAAAGCUUUGGUCACGAGCUCACAGCUAAGCCCCGUAGAGUUUAUUAUCAAGCCCACUCUUUCUUUGGUCCAGCAGAACCAAAUAAAAGAAAAAAUGAUUUGAUUCUACUGAGAUUUGAACCCAGACAAUGUGCAUGUCAUUAUGGCUAUUGUAAAUAAAUUCACCAUAUUUCAUAUGUGUAAUUAAUUGCCAGAAGCAUUUAUUCACAUAAUUGUGUGACAAUUAAUAUGUUAUAUUACUAGCAUGCAAUUAAUAUCUCAA